UCAAGGGCAAGCCUUGCAGAUUGUGGCUUCCUUCCCUUUAAAGAUCCCUUGUUAAAUCUCAGUGGUGAUCUACGCUUUACCCAAGUUGUGUUUGAGAGCUGGUUCGGCCAUCAAAACUUGGAAAUGAUCCCUUGUUUCUGAUAUAAGAUCUUAAAAGGCUGUUGAAUAGAUUUGAUGUCCGGUUGUGUACAAGAGAAUAGUGAAUUUCCAAACUUGAGAUCCGAAACUUAGAAAAGUAUGCUGCUCUCUCCUGAGGAAUGCUGCUGCAACUCGUUUUUUCUGAAUGGCUCUUACAAUCCACGAGGUACUCCACCAUCCUACCCUUCAGCAGCUUCCCUAGCCAUUAUGGUAAAUCCGUGGAGUAACUGGCAGUGAGAUUGACAGAUCCAGGGAGGCCGUGCUUGAAUAAUUGUACCCAAAAAAAGAUAGGGUCACCCGUGGGACAGGCCUUCUGAUGAUGCCUGUUUAUGUUUCACUUGGGCCAACUUUUAUUUGGAGCCUCUUAUACUUUUUUCAAUUAGUAAAGUAAAACUUUUUUCCUGA